rnacentral:rRNA from 1 species
UACGGAGGGUGCAAGCGUUAUCCGGAUUCACUGGGUUUAAAGGGUGCGUAGGUGGGCUAGUAAGUCCGUGGUGAAAUCUCCAAGCUUAACUUGGAAACUGCCGUGGAUACUAUUAGUCUUGAAUAUUGUGGAGGUAAGCGGAAUAUGUCAUGUAGCGGUGAAAUGCUUAGAUAUGACAUAGAACACCGAUAGCGAAGGCAGCUUGCUACACAAUCAUUGACACUGAGGCACGAAAAGCGUGGGGAGUCAAACAGGA